AUUGAACGCUGGCGGCAGGCCUAACACAUGCAAGUCGAGCGGAUGAAGGGAGCUUGCUCCUGGAUUCAGCGGCGGACGGGUGAGUAAUGCCUAGGAAUCUGCCUGGUAGUGGGGGAUAACGUCCGGAAACGGGCGCUAAUACCGCAUACGUCCUGAGGGAGAAAGUGGGGGAUCUUCGGACCUCACGCUAUCAGAUGAGCCUAGGUCGGAUUAGCUAGUUGGUGGGGUAAAGGCCUACCAAGGCGACGAUCCGUAACUGGUCUGAGAGGAUGAUCAGUCACACUGGAACUGAGCCACGGUCCAGACGCCUACGGGAGGCAGCAGUGGGGAAUAUUGGACAAUGGGCGAAAGCCUGAUCCAGCCAUGCCGCGUGUGUGAAGAAGGUCUUCGGAUUGUAAAGCACUUUAAGUUGGGAGGAAGGGCAGUAAGUUAAUACCUUGCUGUUUUGACGUUACCAACAGAAUAAGCACUGGCUAACUUCGUG
rnacentral:rRNA from 1 species